rnacentral:rRNA from 1 species
AACGAACGCUGGCGGCGUGCUUAACACAUGCAAGUCGAACGUGAUUGGAAGCUUGCUUCCAUGAAAGUGGCGCACGGGUGAGUAACGCGUGGAUAACCUGCCCUGGUAUCCGGAAUAACAUCUCGAAAGGGGUGCUAAUACCGGAUAAGCCUACGGAGCCCUCGGUCUCUGCAGGAAAAGGUGGCCUCUAUUUAUAAGCUACCGUAUCAGGAUGGGUCCGCGUACCAUUAGCUAGUUGGUGGGGUAAUGGCCUACCAAGGCGACGAUGGUUAGCUGGUCUGAGAGGAUGAUCAGCCACACUGGAACUGAGACACGGUCCAGACUCCUACGGGUGGCAG